ensembl:lncRNA
AGAGAGGGAGCCACCUUUACAGAUGGAGAUCUCCUUUACAAUGUAAAUGUCUCCUAACAAAGGGUAAGUAAAUUCUACUCCUCAGAGCCUCCUUCCCGUCUGCAGUUUUUAAAAGUAACCAGCCCAAAAUAAUCCUCAUCACAUUAUAAUCCAGCAGGAGCCUAGAACCCAACAAAAAUCUGCUUUGCUGCAGGAAUUUCUUGCUCCACAGGAGCCUGCACCACAGCAAUCACCUCCCACCCAAAGUGUGCCCUUUACUCAACAGGAAGCUGCCUUGCAGCACAGGCGUGGGCCAGGCAUAGAAUCUAGAAGUUAAUAGGAACCACACUUGAGAGAGGGAUGUGCAGCCCAGCCAGGACCUGGCCCAGGAGAGCCACCUCUAGCUCAGCGAGAAGCUGGAUCAACACCUUCAGCCCAGCCUAGACCUAGACCCCAAAAUGGACCACCGGUCAAGAUUGGAUUUAUGUCCCAAGAGAGACUAGGACAGUCAGACCCACAAGCCAGCCAACAGCUCCAGCCCAGGGAGCCAGACCCCAGCAGGCAUCUUUGAUGGAGUGGAGAUUUCUAUCAGAACUGCACCAACUAAUCUCACAGCAGCCGGCUUCAGAGGGGAAGACAUGUUUUGAGUAGGUCACAGAUCCAGUCUCAAAAUUAGACUUGGGGUCUCCGUUAGGCAUUGACUUGCCAGCUAUGAGGGGUAGGACAGUGGCCCAGGGAAUGAAGCUGGCUUUCAAGGGGAAGCCUGGUUAUGGAGUGAUGUCAGGAUAUGGUGGGACAUCAGCACACAGGAAGAACAGCCUCAGCCAGAAUCACAGACACUAUGGAGACACGGGCCUCCAGAACCCAGCGUCUAGGGACGCCCUCUCCACAGCGCCGCCACAGACCAAACCACCUCUGCCGGCGCCCAAGACGCAGUUGACUGUGUGCGCAUGCGCGGACCACGAACAUCAUCUCUGUCCGCCUUUCCCAGGCACGUGCCUUUCCCUCCUCCAGGCCUCCUCAGCUGACCAGGUUGAGGCUCCGGGCUAGUGCGCAGGCGCCGAUCAUUCUUUCCCCACCCUUUCAUCUCCUGGAGAGGGGAGAGCGAGAGCGCAAAGAACCCAGGGAAACUCUUAUAGGAAAACUAAGAGAUAACGUGCGGGAGAAGGCGGGGCUUCCUCCUCCGAAGGCUCGCAGGCAGAGCGCCACGCCUCCAGUGUUGGCGCCCCGCCUCGCCCUUUUCCUUUGGAAUAUCUUUGCUCUCUGGAUCCUUCUGGCAGUUCGGGUGGCUUUGUAAAGAAUCUCUUCCCGGGAAGGUGGGAAGACAGAGGACCACUCUGACUCGAACCAGAAGGCACAGGGCAUGAUGGGGCUGGUGCGGCGGACACAGCUCCGCUCUUCCGAGACCUGAACCUGGGCACCUCCUCAUGGCUCAACUCUUUCCGGGAGCUGGGAAGGCACAGGUCUCACAGGAGCUCAAUGCUCAUGGCAGGCCUUGUGUAGAAGUGAUGGGACAUUGAGACGAGGCCAUUAAGCAGUUCUCCAUCCUGGCUACACAUUAAAAGUAUCUGGGAAUGUCUGCAGAGUCUGGAUUGGGGGAAAGGAAUUCCAAACUUUUGACGUGGUUCUCAAUGGCCCCAUUGCUCCUCCACAAGGGCCUCAAACAGGAAAAUGGCUAUACGUGUUCAGAGAAUGAAUAAAAGAAAGCAAGACGGAUAACUGGGUGACACCUGCUUCUGCUCCCGCAUAAUUAAUAUGGGAGUGCUGUGAGUGUGAAGAAAUGGACAUUCACAUACACUUGCAGUGGUGCAUUGGUGCCAUUUUUAUACAAGGUAAUGUGUAGGUUCCUCUCCUAAAUUUUUUGUCUUGAGAAAAAAUUCACAUACCUAAAAUUUACCAUUUUGAAGUGUGAGCCCAUGGGAAUGUGGCCCAUCCAGUCCUUCCAGAGUUCUACUGUGCUGGAGUAUAGACCCAGGGUGGCUAGAUUUCUGCAGAUCCUGUUAAGACGCAAAUUCUGACUUGGCAAGUGUGGGGUGGACCUGAAAGUCUGCAUCUAACAAGCUCUCAGGUGAUGCUGAUCACACUGGCCUGUGGAAUAUAUUUUCAAUACGAAGGCUAAUGGGGACCCCUGUCCCCUGAGAGGAUGACCCACCCAUCCCAGCAUUGACCUCUAUUGUAUCCUGUGUCCUGGCCUUGGGUUCUGUCAGUACCACAUAGAGAACCAGGAGUCCCAAACUCAGGGGAUUAUUUUCUCUUGGGACACAGAAAUCCAGCUGGGCACCAGGAUGUUCCCAGUGUCCUCAAAUGCUCUGGGAAUGCUGGAUUUACUCCUGGCAGGAAGAUCGCAGAGAUGACUCUGGGCAUGAGAAAGGGGCAAGCUGAGUGAUGACCAGUGAGGGUGCCCACCCUCUAUCUCCAGUGUCUCCAGCCUGGCCUCUGCUUUCAGGGAUAGACACUCAAUAUAGGGUGUCACAGGAGCUGCAAUUCUCGGGUGUGAAGGUAGAGGUUUCCCAUGUGUCCUGGGUGAGAGGACAGUGGUGGUGGGAGAUCAGGUGGCUGUGGGCUCCCUGAUCCUUGGGGGAAAGUUUCAGGGAGACCCCCCCACCCAAGCAUGUUGGUUGAGGUGUGGCUCAGAGCCUGUCUAUUUGCUCCCUGAUCAUCCUGGGGGCCCCUGUCCUCUGACUGGCUGACUUUCCUGUGGUCAUUCUGCCUUCCCCAUGGGUGGUACCAGGCAGGGAGUGGGGAGAUGCACACAGACCCCUGACAGAUCAGGGUGCUCUGAGGCCCUUAGAAGGAACGGAUAGGAAGGACCCAGAAGGGUCUUCCUGAGCAAGGGAUAGAAGUCAGGCUCCUUCUUCACCUCCUUAGCCAAAGUCAGGUUCAUGAGUUAAUUUUCUGUGUGUCCCAAUUUCGCCCCCCAAAGGGAAUGCUGCCAGUGUCAGGGGCUGCACCAAGGAUGCUGACCAGGCUCUAGAAGGUGUGCACUGGCACUGGGCCCUGGACAGACAUGAGUUCUGAUCUCCAGGCUGAAGGUCCUCUAAGCCUAGGUCCUGGUCACUGCUGGUUGCGAGGCUGCCCAACUCCAUCCCAGUGUAGGGUGAGCCCAGGGAAAGGACAGGCAUUGUCCAGUGGACUCCUAAUCCAGUGUCCUGUGCUGCCUGGUUGAUGUGCUGCCUCCGGAGAAGCUCUCUGUUCUGGUGGUUUCAAAGGAAGGGUGAGGGGUCUCUUGAGGCUUUCAAGAGAGAGUGAAGGGCUGGUCCCCAGAAUGACCUGUGUUUCCCCAAUCACAGCACUGGGGCAUGGCAUCCGAGUCAUCUGUGUCCCUGUCUGUCAUCUCCUCUAGGCCUUUCCACAGGGCCCAGGACCUAGAUCAGUUCCACAUGAAGACUCAGACAGGGGAUCCUGUGGGUUCCUCUGUUAGGAGAGGGGAGGCUCCAUGGGACCCUCAGCCCCUUUGACAUGGAAGCAAACACAGGUCCUGGUUCUCCUAUCCCAUCCUGCAUUGGAAGUUUCCCUUGUUCACUCUGCUGCCUUGGGCUGGUGAGAUGUCUUCAGGGGACUACAACUAGUGUCCCCACAGACUUGAGACCCUUGAGGUGAGAAGUCACCCCCUGAUUACUCUGAGGUCAGAGUGGGGCUCCCUCCUCCCCUUAGGGUAACUUUACCUGGGGUGGAGAAUCCAGAGUUUGUGUCAGGUCAGGUCUCUGUGAGAAGAGGAAGAACACAGGCUAUCAGCCCAGGCCGUCCAGGGAGAGAAGUCCCUCACAAGGUAGACAUGGGAAGGGGGUGGGAUUUUCUGGAUGAAUGGGGAUCGAACCCCUCACUGUUAGGAGGCCCCUGUCCUCCCUCCUGACUCAACAAGGGGUAAAGGCCUCUCCCCGGGAUAGCCACAGGCCUCCCAUGCUGAUGCCAAUACCCCUGUGUGUACAUGGAAUGUGCUGUGACCUCCAGGUGUCAUACAGGAGUGAAGGGCUUCCAUUGUGUGGUUUCCUCAACCAUUUGAGAAAUUUAUUUGACAUGUUUAUUAAGCAUCUGUUACUGGGUGCAGACAGGGAUGGCUGGAUACCUGGCCUGGCUUAGGUCUGCUCCUUACAGACAUUGUCGCUGGAGUGCAGGCUACUGUUCAGAGUCCCCACUUGGGCACAAGGAAGGGAUCCGAUGUCUCCAUGUCUCAUCAGGGAUUAAUUGUGGUGGCCUGCUCUCUGGAUCUGCCUCCUGCUCUCAUUUCCAGUUCCUGUCAAACCUCUGCCUCCCAUCCUGGCACUGCCUGAGGCCUCAGCACUGCCUCUCUGGCACUGGGGUCUGGACACUGUCAGGUACUGAGCUGACCAAACCCUCUGUCUCAUGUGACCCUCCUGGUGUUGGAGAGAAGGGCCAGGUGAUGGGAUCAGGGCUGCCUCCUGGGAAAGCACCUCCAAAUCUCGGUGUCUUUAUAAAUCCAUGGAGGCAAAAUGCAAGGUUAUAUGAGAAGAACUGCAUAAGUGCACCAUGACCCAGAGGGUCACUGGAACAGAAUUGUUGACUAGAAUCACAGGGUACAGCCUGCCAGGGGUGCCAGAAUCUUCUAAGAGCAGCUACUGUGUGCCAGGUAUUGUGCUGGGUGCUUGACACAAAGAUGCAUGCGGUCCUUACAACAACCUUAUGAGGCAGGUACUCUUAGUGUACCUAUUUCACAGAGGAGCAAAGCAAGGCUCACAGAUACUGUUACUUGCCCAUGUCACCCAGCACCCAGUGAGUACCUGGUACCAUAAGGAGCUAGAGUGACAUGUGUGCCUCUAGGGGCUCACUUGUCACCUUAUCCUACAAGGAAAACCCCACUGCUUAAUCGUCCACGUGCCUAAAAUUCAAAUCACUUUUAAUUGUUUUUGUGUAUAUUUGUUUGCAUCCAUUUAAAUACUGUAAAAUUAAAAACAAUUUAAAAUAAAACAUAUCCAAUUGGAAUAACUUUCAUGUGUUAGUUGUGCUUUAAAAUCU